AAACGUGCAGAUUUGCGCAAAGAUGGUGGUUCUACGUAUCCUCCGGGGACUUAUGCACAAUAUAACAAAUAAUUCAUACUUCACAAAGGAUCCUCACCUAUCUAGAUGGAUUAAUAAAUAUAUUAUUAAGCUAGGAAUGCAGGAUAUACUAGUGACAGAGAAUAAUGUAAGUAAAAUUCACAAUUGAAGUUGAUUCGUGACCUAACAAAAUGGACAUUCUGAACUGCAUGUGAAAAGUGAAAGUAGACUGAAACUACAAUAUGAGAACUAAUACAUAUAUAAAUAAGAUUCUAAACAAUAUAAAAGUACACAAUCAUAUGAUUUCUACAACUUCAAGUGAUAAUUGUUACACAACAAGCGUAAACUACUAAUUUAUGGGUCACCGUAAACAUGUAAACAAAUCUGCAUGAAUCUAUUUCCGGUGACAUUCCAGAAAUGUACUUUAACAUUGGAUGUUAACAAACGGAUAUUACAAUGGAACCAGAUGGGAUUUAGCAGGGAUGUGAAUAACACAAUAUCUUAACAACAAUAAAUAUUAACAAUAUAACAUUUGAGACCAUUUUAACCUAUUCAUGGAGCAUAAAGGGACAUAACAAGGAACCAUUUUUUUUUCCGGCACAACACUGCCCCCUCCUAAGUAUGGAUUGGUCUCCAAUUGGAUUGUAAGAUAUUUAAUCAUGCAGAAGGCACCAUCAGGAAUGGAGUUACAUGUCCACAAAACUACUUCAAAUCAAAUAACUACUUGAUCUUUAAAGAAAGGGACUCCAAGAACCAAAUCUACCGGAAGAGUAAUUUCCCGACCGAGCAUCAUAUUACAAGGUCUGACACCAGUGGAUUUGUGAACUGAUGAACGCACGCAGACAGUAGUUACAGCCAGUUUCACAACAGGGGUGACGGGACAAUGCAUCAGCAUUUGAUUGGAUUCGACCAGCUCUAUGCUCUAUUUUGAAAUUGUUGAGUAUUCUGGGCUGAUUUGACAACCUGCUUGAUAUCAUUAGUCAAAGACUUCAUUUCCUGGCGGAAACCAUGUAUGAAAGUCUUUGUAAACGACUCAGAAUCAUCAAGACAAUCUGACUCAUUUGAAGCCACUGCAUUGAUUGGAUUACCACGAUACCGAUUGGUCUUCUGUUUGUCCCCGACCCUAUAGGCCACAAGCUGUAGUGCCAAAAUUUCAGCUUCAGCAAUAUCUUUGCUCUGAGCUUCUCUUAUUCUGAGCCUCAUAUCUGACUCCGGUAAAGCAUCUGUAAAGUGAUCCCUUGCCAAAAUAAAAAAAGUUGGAGGUGCUUUUGGAUAAGCUUGCCGUGUGAGCUUUUUAUGGAUUGAGCCAGUUCAGAGAUUGAUUCUUCUUUACGCUUGACACGUGUCUGCAAAUUGGCUCUGAAAAUCUCAGCUCGGUUCAUUGAUCCAAACCUUAAAUUAAGGAUCAUGACCAAGCUUUGAUAAUCUUUCCUUUCCAUUGGGGACAGUUCAGUUAAUAAGGUUCUGGCAUCACCUUUAAGGCUACCAGCUAAGUACAAGGAUUUAGUUACAUAAUUCCAGGAGUUCAACUCUGCCAAAAUCUCAAAUUGAGAGGCCUUCGGCUGUUGUCUGCUUUGACAUAUUCCCCAUUUCCAUUCUCAAUUUUACAGAUAAUCAUCUAGAUCUUUUGUACCAUCAUAAUAUUGUGGUUCAUUUUAAUAGCACCAUUAGAAUUGGACGUUUGGUUCUGAUGUGGAGUACGCACAACUGAAUUAGGCCUACCCACUACCAAACUAGAUACACCGGGGGCCAGGGUUGAUGGACCAAACCAUCUGUUAGCAGUUGCUAAAUUGUCAUUGUUAAUAUUAAAUAAAACAU